UACGUAGGGUGCGAGCGUUAAUCGGAUUUACUGGGCGUAAAGCGUGCGUAGGCGGUCCCCCAAGUCCGCUGUGAAAGCCCCGGGCUUAACCUGGGAAUGGCAGUGGAAACUAUGAGACUUGAAUCUGGCAGAGGGGGGUGGAAUGCCACGUGUAGCAGUGAAAUGCGUAGAGAUGUGGCGGAACACCGAUGGCGAAGGCAGCCCCCUGGGCUGAGAUUGACGCUCAGGCACGAAAGCGUGGGGAGCAAACAGG
rnacentral:rRNA from 1 species